rnacentral:rRNA from 1 species
GACGAACGCUGGCGGCGUGCCUAAUACAUGCAAGUAGAACGCUGAAGGAGGAGCUUGCUCUUCUGGAUGAGUUGCGAACGGGUGAGUACCGCGUAGGUAACCUGCCUGGUAGCGGGGGAUAACUAUUGGAACGGAUGGCUAAUACCGCAUAACAGUAGAUGUUGCAUGACAUUUACUUAAAAGUUGCAAUUGCAUCACUACCAGAUGGCCCUGCGUUGUAUUAGCUAGUUGGUGGGGUAACGGCUCACCAAGGCGACGAUACAUAGCCGACCUGAGAGGGUGAUCGGCCACACUGGGACUGAGACACGGCCCAGACUCCUACGGGAGGCAGCAGUAGGGAAUCUUCGGCAAUGGACGGAAGUCUGACCGAGCAACGCCGCGUGAGUGAAGAAGGUUUUCGGAUCGUAAAGCUCUGUUGUAAGAGAAGAACGAGUGUGAGAGUGGAAAGUUCACACUGUGACGGUAUCUUACCAGAAAGGGACGGCUAACUACGUG